AUGGUAGCACAUCACUUUAUUCUUUCAUGCAUGCAGAACUACGUGGCAACUUGCUCCACAUGGUACUGGGUUUUGACUGUCCUCCAGGUCUCGAGUGCGACGGGCAGCUUUGCGAUGAUGUUCUCAUCUUCCAUGGCGGCCGUGGAAUACUACCUCCUGAAACGGUUCCCUGUACCGUACGCUCUCUUCUUCACUAGCCUGACAUUUGUUGCCGCGAUUGUUGGCCAGCGGGUCGCAAGGAAAUUGGUCAAUUGGCUAGGGCGGGCAUCAUUUAUCAUCUUCAUAUUGUCCUCCAUGAUCUUCGUCAGCGCGAUUUCUCUAGGUGGAGUCGGCAUCUCCAAGACGACUCACAAGAUGGCGCGGCACGAGUACAUGGGAUUCGGCAACAUUUGCAACUAUCAUGCGUAG
rnacentral:rRNA from 1 species